rnacentral:rRNA from 1 species
UACGUAGGGUGCAAGCGUUGUCCGGAAUUAUUGGGCGUAAAGAGCUCGUAGGCGGUCUGUCGCGUCGGCUGUGAAAACCCGAGGCUCAACCUCGGGCCUGCAGUCGAUACGGGCAAACUAGAGUACUGCAGGGGAGACUGGAAUUCCGGGUGUAGCGGUGGAAUGCGUAGAGAUCCGGAAGAACACCGGUGGCGAAGGCGGUCUGCUGGGCAGUAGCUGACACUGAGGCGCGACAGCGUGGGGAGCAAACAGG